rnacentral:rRNA from 1 species
AACGAACGCUGGCGGCGCGCCUAAUACAUGCAAGUCGAGCGAGAAGACGUAGCAAUACGUUUGUAAAGCGGCGAACGGGUGAGGAAUACAUGGGUAACCUACCCUCGAGUGGGGAAUAACUAGCCGAAAGGUUAGCUAAUACCGCGUACGCUCCUUGGACUUCGGUUCAGGGAGGAAAGCGAUACCGUGGGUAUCGCGCUCUUGGAUGGGCUCAUGUCCUAUCAGCUUGUUGGUGAGGAACGGCUCACCAAGGCUUCGACGGGUAGCUGGUCUGAGAGGACGAUCAGCCACACUGGCACUGCGACACGGGCCAGACUCCUACGGGAGGCAGCAGUAAGGAAUAUUGCGCAA